ensembl:lncRNA
AUGAGGGGUAUCGUGGGGGUGUUGGUGUGUUUGUCUUUCGGAAAGUGUGCUUUAGUUCCUGAACUCCGUGCAACAGAGUUUGGGUUAAUGCCUCCUGAGAACCUUACGCAAGGACAAACGGGAUUUGCGGUGUCUGAUUUAUCCUAUUGUCAGAUGAUUCUGGAAGCUCCGGUUCCACCCACAGCAGACCAGGUACCCUGGUUCUGCAUCUGUUCUGCUUGCUCCGGAAACCGAGGCCAGAAAGGAGACAGAGGCGACCGCGGACUGCCAGGAGUUCCUGGUAGUUCAGGUCCAAGAGGCCUCAGUGGGCUUCCCGGCCGUCCAGGAUUCACAGGACGUCCCGGCAUUAAGGGUGAGAAAGGUGACGCCGGGGAUAAGGGUGACAUUGGUCAACCUGGAGUUUCAGGGCCAAAGGGAGACAGGGGAUUUAAAGGUCAGUGAAUCUUCGUU